CAUAAACUCAUCCGUGUGUCUGUCUUUUUUUUUUCCUCUCCACAGAAUUGAAGUGUUGUUGUUUUGUUGAUUCUUAUUUUUCUUUAUUGAGAUUCGUUGAUUGAGUGGAUUAUUACCCAUCUCGUUCUUCAGAUUCAGUUUCUUCAGAUUUUGAUACAAUGUUUGAACCACGUGUUUCUCUUCGGUACAGGCCAAGAACGUGGUACUUCUUCUACUCAAGGCAAUAAUUAUCCUUCAGAGUCCACACCUCAAUAGAAAAAACAGCCAGAGAUAACAAGAAGAUGGAGAAAGGGUUGUUGGUUUGGGAUUAAAGAGGAGGUUGAAGUUGGUUUCUAUCUUAUUUUUCUAUGGUUUGCAGUUUCUUUAUAAGUAAACUUUAUGUAUUUUCAAAUUCUCUAUGGUUUGUUGUAUUUCACUUUCUGAAUAUCAGAAAUCAGGUUCAUUACAUGUUAUUAAACAUGUGAAAUAAUCAAUAAAACUGUAUUUAAAAACAUGGUAUUUAAAAAAAAAAAUUAAAACUGCAUUUAGAAGAGAAAAAAACUAUUACAC